rnacentral:rRNA from 1 species
GAUGAACGCUGGCGGCGUGCCUAAUACAUGCAAGUCGAGCGAACGGACGAGAAGCUUGCUUCUCUGAUGUUAGCGGCGGACGGGUGAGUAACACGUGGAUAACCUACCUAUAAGACUGGGAUAACUUCGGGAAACCGGAGCUAAUACCGGAUAAUAUUUUGAACCGCAUGGUUCAAAAGUAAAAGACGGUCUUGCUGUCACUUAUAGAUGGAUCCGCGCUGCAUUAGCUAGUUGGUAAGGUAACGGCUUACCAAGGCAACGAUGCAUAGCCGACCUGAGAGGGUGAUCGGCCACACUGGAACUGAGACACGGUCCAGACUCCUACGGGAGGCAGCAGUAGGGAAUCUUCCGCAAUGGGCGAAAGCCUGACGGAGCAGCGCCGCGUGAGUGAUGAAGGUCUUCGGAUCGUAAAACUCUGUUAUUAGGGAAGAACAUAUGUGUAAGUAACUGUGCACAUCUUGACGGUACCUAAUCAGAAAGCCACGGCUAACUACGUG